ensembl:misc_RNA 7SK 7SK RNA
ACAUGUGAGGGUCAUCUGGCUGGAACAUCUGUCAACCCAUUGAUCUCUAGGGUUGACUCUGCUGAUCUGGCUGGCUAGGUGGGCGUCCCCUUCCUGCCUCACCACUCCAUGUGCAUCCACCCCAGAGCAGCUGCUGCUCCCUGAAGAGAGCAGGACCCAUCUUUGGUCAAGGGUGUACAAGUAGCUGCUCUCCCCUGCUAGAACCCCCAAACAAACUCUCUAGGACAAAGGGGCCAGGAUGUAGGUGGAGUAAGUCAGAGUCGCCAGCUCCCAGAAACACAGUGGUCUGAUUCUGUGU